UAGUGGCAGACGGGUGAGUAAUGUAUAGGAAUCUACCUAGUAGUACGGAAUAAUUGUUGGAAACGGCAACUAAUACCGUAUACGCCCUACGGGGGAAAAAUUUAUUGCUAUUAGAUGAGCCUAUAUUAGAUUAGCUAGUUGGUGGAGUAAUAGCCUACCAAGGCAAUGAUCUAUAGCUGAUCUGAGAGGAUGAUCAGCCACACUGGAACUGAGAUACGGUCCAGACUCCUACGGGAGGCAGCAGUGGGGAAUAUUGGACAAUGGGCGAAAGCCUGAUCCAGCUAUGCCGCAUGAGUGAAGAAGGCUUUUGGGUUGUAAAGCUCUUUUAGUGAGGAAGAUAAUGACGGUACUCACAGAAGAAGUCCUGGCUAACUCCGUGCCAGCAGCCGCGGUAAUACGGAGAGGGCUAGCGUUAUUCGGAAUUAUUGGGCGUAAAGGGCGCGUAGGCUGAUUAAUAAGUUAAAAGUGAAAUCCCGAGGCUUAACCUUGGAAUUGCUUUUAAAACUAUUAAUCUAGAGAUUGAAAGAGGAUAGAGGAAUUCCUGAUGUAGAGGUAAAAUUCGUAAAUAUUAGGAGGAACACCAGUGGCGAAGGCGUCUAUCUGGUUCAAAUCUGACGCUGAAGCGCGAAGGCGUGGGGAGCAAACAGGAUUAGAUACCCUGGUAGUCCACGCUGUAAACGAUGAAUGUUAAAUAUGGGAAGUUUACUUUCUGUAUUACAGCUAACGCGUUAAACAUUCCGCCUGGGGACUACGGUCGCAAGAUUAAAACUCAAAGGAAUUGACGGGGACCCGCACAAGCGGUGGAGCAUGUGGUUUAAUUCGAUGCAACGCGAAAAACCUUACCACUUCUUG
rnacentral:rRNA from 1 species